rnacentral:rRNA from 1 species
CCUACGGGUGGCAGCAGUCGAGAAUCAUUCACAAUGGGGGAAACCCUGAUGGUGCGACGCCGCGUGGGGGAAUGAAGGUCUUCGGAUUGUAAACCCCUGUCAUGUGGGAGCAAAUUAAAAAGAUAGUACCACAAGAGGAAGAGACGGCUAACUCUGUGCCAGCAGCCGCGGUAAUACGGAGGUCUCAAGCGUUGUUCGGAAUCAAUGGGCGUAAGGGGUGCGUAGGCUGUCUUGUAAGUCGGUUGUGAAGGGCGCGGGCUCAACCCGCGGGCGGCACAUGAUACUGGGAGACUAGAGUAAAGGAGAGGAGAACGGAAUUCCUGGUGUAGCAGUGAAAUGCGUAGAGAUUGGGAGGAACACUCGUGGCGAAGGCGAGUCCCUGGACAUUAACUGACGCUGAGGCACGAAGGCGAGGGGAGCGAAAGGGAUUAGAUACCCUUGUAGUC